UACGGGGGGGGCAAGCGUUGUUCGGAAUUACUGGGCGUAAAGGGCUCGUAGGCGGCCAACUAAGUCAGACGUGAAAUCCCUCGGCUUAACCGGGGAACUGCAUCUGAUACUGGAUGGCUUGAGUUCGGGAGAGGGAUGCGGAAUUCCAGGUGUAGCGGUGAAAUGCGUAGAUAUCUGGAGGAACACCGGUGGCGAAGGCGGCAUCCUGGACCGACACUGACGCUGAGGCACGAAAGCGUGGGGAGCAAACAGG
rnacentral:rRNA from 1 species